UACGUAGGGACCGAGCGUUGUCCGGAUUCAUUGGGUGUAAAGAGCUCGUAGGCGGCCACUCAAGUCGAAUGUGAAACCUCGAGGCUUAACCUCGAGCCUGCAUUCGAUACUGGGUGGCUAGAGUCUGGUAGGGGGAUCUGGAAUUCCUGGUGUAGCGGUGGAAUGCGCAGAUAUCAGGAGGAACACCGGUGGCGAAGGCGGGAUCCUGGGCCAGUACUGACGCUGAGACGCGAAAGCUAGGGGAGCGAACAGG
rnacentral:rRNA from 1 species